AAACCGAACCGAUUCAAAUUGGAUCCUAAGUAAGUUUGAUUUCAAUUUCAAUUCCAAGAAGAAGAAAAAAAACCCGAAUUAAACCGGACCGCACGUACCUUUUACUAAUGCUAGAAAUGAGGAUAUCUACAAAUUUUUAUUAAUUUAAUUAUCCUCCAAAUCCAAUGGACGAACAGCGAUAUUAAGAAAAAAUUACAGAUCUGAUACAGGCACACAGCCAUGUCUACCUCCACCACCACCACACAGAGCAGCUCAGCAACCGAGGCACAACUAAUCCCGUCCCUCCCAGACGAUGUCGCUUUGAACUGUAUAGCGCGGGUCCCACGUUGGUACUACCCGACCCUCUCCAUUGUCUCGCGACCCAUCCGCUCCCUCCUCUCAUCACCACUCUUCUUCACCACCCGCUCCCUCCUCAGCUCCACCGAACAUUUCCUCUACCUCACCCUGCGGCUGCACCACAACCCUUCCGCCUGGUUCACACUCUAUCAAAACCCCAACCCCAACAACCCAAACAACCCUCACGUUCUCAUCCCGGUCCCGCCACUCCCCGCCCCAACAGUCGGCGCCGCAUACGCCGUCGUGGGCCCCACCAUCUACGUCAUCGGAGGCUCAAUCAACGACGUCCCUUCCUCGCACGUAUGGGUCCUCGACUGCCGCCUCCACACGUGGCGCAAGGGUCCUCCCAUGCGCGUGGCGCGCGAGUUCUCGGCUGCCGGCGUCGUCGACGGAAAGAUAUACGUCAUCGGCGGCUGCGUCGCGGACUCGUGGGCCCGGAACGAGUUCUGGGCCGAGUCUCUUGACCCGGGGACGGGCCGCUGGGAGGCGGUGCGGAGCCCGAUUGAUGUCCGCGCCAAGUGGAUGCACGCGAGCGCCGUGAUCGGCGCUCGCGUGUACGCCAUGGCGGACCGGGGCGGCGUCGUGUUGGACCCGAAAGCCGGAACUUGGGAUGUGGUUGAUAAAAGGCUUGACUUGGGUUGGAGAGGGAGGGCCUGUGUGGUCCAUGGGAUUCUCUACUGCUAUGACUAUUUGGGGAAAAUUAGAGGGUUUGAUGUGAAGAAGAGGGUUUGGAAAGAGCUCAAGGGACUGGAGAAGGGGCUGCCCAAGUUCUUGUGCGGCGCCACGAUGGCGAAUGUGGGAGAGAAAUUGGUUGUGUUGUGGGAAGGGAAGGGAAAUGGUAAAGAAAUUGAGAUUUGGUGUGCGGAAAUUGAAGUGGAGAAAAAUGGGGAUGGAGAGUUGCAGGGAAAGAUUGGUUGGUCCCAUAAGCUCAUUUCGGUUCCGAAAAACUUCUCCAUCGUCAACUGCUUGGCGGUCACGUUGUGAUUCUUGGUGGAGCACUGUGGAAUUCCAUCCAAACGUAGGUCACCAGAGUCCUAUCCCAGCAAGGGAGCAACAAAGGAAGCUUCAAAUUGAGCCACAUUCUUCCAGCAGCAAGUUGUUAUGUCAACUAUUUCACUGACCUACCUUUGAAUUUGGGGGACUGCUGCAAAUUGCAAUGGUCCUGAUAAAAGCACCUUCGAGUUAGGUCGGGGACACACUCAAUUGCUUGAGUGAUUGGCCAACAAGACAAAAUCCAAAACCAACAAUGCUGACUAUGAAAUUUCUACAUAUCUCCCUUCUCAUAAUAGCGAUGCAGAAUACUUGAAAUCACUUCUAGAGGUUUUUUCUUUUCCCCUUUUUUGCCUCUUUGUAUUUUGGUAGCAAUUGAAGUUUUGCAUUGAUGUUUGAAAAAUGUCAGUUUUUUCCCUUUUUAUCUGGAUUGAGGGAGUAAUCUCUCUAGUGUCAUUCUUUAUGUAAAAUUUCAUUUUGGAAAUGUCAGUUUGCCUUUAACUUU